AGCGAACGCUGGCGGCAGGCCUAACACAUGCAAGUCGAACGAACUCUUCGGAGUUAGUGGCGGACGGGUGAGUAACACGUGGGAACGUGCCUGUUGGUUCGGAAUAACUCAGGGAAACUUGUGCUAAUACCGAAUGUGCCCUUCGGGGGAAAGAUUUAUCGCCAUUAGAGCGGCCCGCGUCUGAUUAGCUAGUUGGUGAGGUAACGGCUCACCAAGGCGACGAUCAGUAGCUGGUCUGAGAGGAUGACCAGCCACACUGGGACUGAGACACGGCCCAGACUCCUACGGGAGGCAGCAGUGGGGAAUCUUGCGCAAUGGGCGAAAGCCUGACGCAGCCAUGCCGCGUGAAUGAUGAAGGUCUUAGGAUUGUAAAAUUCUUUAACCGGGGACGAUAAUGACGGUACCCGGAGAAGAAGCCCCGGCUAACUUCGUG
rnacentral:rRNA from 1 species